ACACAUGCAAGUCGAGCGGAAACGAUGAUAGCUUGCUAUCAGGCGUCGAGCGGCGGACGGGUGAGUAAUACUUAGGAAUCUACCUAGUAGUGGGGGAUAGCACGGGGAAACUCGUAUUAAUACCGCAUACGACCUACGGGAGAAAGGGGGCAGUUUACUGCUCUCGCUAUUAGAUGAGCCUAAGUCGGAUUAGCUAGAUGGUGGGGUAAAGGCCUACCAUGGCGACGAUCUGUAGCUGGUCUGAGAGGAUGAUCAGCCACACCGGGACUGAGACACGGCCCGGACUCCUACGGGAGGCAGCAGUGGGGAAUAUUGGACAAUGGGGGAAACCCUGAUCCAGCCAUGCCGCGUGUGUGAAGAAGGCCUUUUGGUUGUAAAGCACUUUAAGCAGUGAAGAAGACUCCUCGGUUAAUACCCGUGGACGAUGACAUUAGCUGCAGAAUAAGCACCGGCUAACUCUGUGCCAGCAGCCGCGGUAAUACAGAGGGUGCAAGCGUUAAUCGGAAUUACUGGGCGUAAAGGGAGCGUAGGUGGCUCGAUAAGUCAGAUGUGAAAUCCCCGGGCUCAACCUGGGAACUGCAUCUGAUACUGUUGAGCUAGAGUAUGUGAGAGGAAGGUAGAAUUCCAGGUGUAGCGGUGAAAUGCGUAGAGAUCUGGAGGAAUACCGAUGGCGAAGGCAGCCUUCUGGCAUAAUACUGACACUGAGGCUCGAAAGCGUGGGUAGCAAACAGGAUUAGAUACCCUGGUAGUCCACGCCGUAAACGAUGUCUACUAGUCGUUGGGUCCCUUGAGGACUUAGUGACGCAGCUAACGCAAUAAGUAGACCGCCUGGGGAGUACGGCCGCAAGGUUAAAACUCAAAUGAAUUGACGGGGGCCCGCACAAGCGGUGGAGCAUGUGGUUUAAUUCGAUGCAACGCGAAGAACCUUACCUGGUCUUGACAUAUCUAGAAUCCUGCAGAGAUGCGGGAGUGCCUUCGGGAAUUAGAAUACAGGUGCUGCAUGGCCUGG
rnacentral:rRNA from 1 species